rnacentral:lncRNA from 1 species
AAGUGGGUGCAGGCGACGCGGAGCCAAACAGAGCCGAAACAACGAAGUUUGGACAAAUCCGUCUACUACCCAUUAUUCCCAUGCUGACUGAAGCGCCAUGCCUUGCAGCUCCCAUAGACACUAGCGCCAGAGUUUCCUCUAGUAAACAUUGUCUGAAAC